UUUCUUUUGACUUUUGUGUCAGCAAUGCAUUAAUAGUAAACCAUCAAUGGUUAAAAAUGGUAAAAACCUCCCACUUCAGAUCUAUUAGACCUACGGUGAAAUUUUUGUUUUGAAACGACGAAGCCCGAACAGAUCAUGUGCAUUUGUUUGUUCAGGAUGGGAAAUGUUGCUCAAGCGAUCUGUUUGAGCUGCUGUUUGAUACAUUUUAGUCAUUGGUCUGUAAUCGAAAAGGCCAUGCGCUCGGUUAGAUAUAUGCAGCGGGUGAGUUUAGACUUCACAGGAACUAUCUUUCCUCACGCCAUCUGUCUUGGAGAUGCAGAUAACGACUCACUGGUGCUGGGAGACACUAGUAGGAAGCUGUACAUCUAUAAAAAUGAUGACUGACUGUAAACCCUGGAUCACGAGGACAUGUGUGGGCAUGUCCAGAAGGUCUCCCUGAAUUGGCCCGGCUGUGGCUAUGCAGUUCUGAGGUGCUCAUGGACACAAGAGGGCGCUGCAGGACCUAGGGAUGAAAGCACAGCAACUCUUAGCAGGUGAGAGAAUCACAACGAGGGUUAAUGUUAUAGCAGUGCUGAAUAAUCCAGAGCAGAACUGGUUUUUGGAAUAACUCUGCUUGUGUAUGUCCUUCCAGAGAGGUUGUCCUUCAUUUUACUACCGGACGCAUCCAUAACAAGAACGUGUCCACUCAUUUGAUAGGCAGCAUUUGCAGAGGUUCUGAGAAAGCAUGCUGUCACAUAUUUAGAUUGCAUACUGCACAUGCAUAUCUUUAUCAACUUUGCAGCCGGCUGAAUAAAGUAUGCAGAUUAAAUAAUAAGAUUCAGUCACCAGCAGUUCAGAUUGUUUCCUUGCAUUUUGACAUCAUAAAUAAGGAUCGUCAUUGUUUGAUGAAUAAUUGUGCAUGCUAACCACCCCUCCCCCAUUAAAUUUGCUGUCAUCU